rnacentral:rRNA from 1 species
CAGCAGCCGUGGGAAUACGGAGGGUGCAAGCGUUAAUCGGAAUUACUGGGCGUAAAGCGUGCGUAGGCGGUUCGUUAAGUCUGUUGUGAAAGCCCCGGGCUCAACCUGGGAAUGGCAAUGGAUACUGGCGAGCUAGAGUGUGUCAGAGGAUGGUGGAAUUCCCGGUGUAGCGGUGAAAUGCGUAGAGAUCGGGAGGAACAUCAGUGGCGAAGGCGGCCAUCUGGGACAACACUGACGCUGAGGCACGAAGGCGUGGGGAGCAAACAGGAUUAGAUACCCCUGUAGUCCCUGUCUCUUAUAA